rnacentral:rRNA from 1 species
UACGUAGGGCGCAAGCGUUGUCCGGAAUUAUUGGGCGUAAAGAGCUCGUAGGCGGCCUGUUACGUCUGCUGUGAAAUCCCGGGGGCUUAACCCCGGGCGUGCAGUGGAUACGGGCAGGCUGGAGGCAGGCAGGGGAGACUGGAAUUCCUGGUGUAGCGGUGAAAUGCGCAGAUAUCAGGAGGAACACCGAUGGCGAAGGCAGGUCUCUGGGCCGAUACUGACGCUGAGGAGCGAAAGCGUGGGGAGCGAACAGG